AAGUUUAUCUUUGAAAAAUAGUUUCGCGUAUUUAUUCUACCAGGAAAUCUGAGCCAAGAAUCAAUAGGUAGAUAUUGAUAUACCUACUUACUAUAGGCAAGGUACCCUUUAAAAAGGAUUGCCUCGUGUUAAAAAAAAUCAUUUUGGUUCGAUACUUCGAGCAUUUCAGUACAUUUUUGAACUACACGAAGUGACCAAAUUUCAAAAAUGAAAUCUUUCUCGUUAAUUUCCGUUUUACUUUCAAUCUUUGCAUUUUUUAAAACCGUUUCGGCCGGACCUUUUCUGGGAUUCGUAAUAUGCGGGUUGCUGACCGCUGUUUUUCUACUGUUGCUGGUCCUUCUGCCACCACUGACCACGUUCUUGGCUAUAGCACUUUUGCCAUUGCUCAUAUUCCUCUGUUGUCUCGGAUAUGUGUUGUAAUUACAGAUUCAAAUCAAUUUCCACGGUUCAACGACAGCAAAAUUUAGGUUAUGGUUCAACUUAGAAUUUCUUCCGGUUCUCAAUCAAUGUUCAUUUCACGAUGGUGAUGGGGGUGAUGGUGAUGAUUUUCAAAUAAAAAUGAUUUAAUAAAAAAGUUUUAUAAUUAUCUUA